rnacentral:rRNA from 1 species
UUUUCCGUUCUGGUGAUUCGUCUAAGAAGUUUAAGAUUGCUGAGGGUCAGUGGUCUCGUUAUGCGCCUUCGUAUGUUUCUCCUGCUUAUCACCUUCUUGAAGGCUUCCCAUUCAUUCAGGAACCGCCUUCUGGUGAUUUGCAAGAACGCGUACUUAUUCGCCACCAUGAUUAUGACCAGUGUUUCCAGUCCGUUCAGUUGUUGCAGUGGAAUAGUCAGGUUAAA